rnacentral:lncRNA from 1 species
UGAUCCGCUUUACUGCAUUCAUCCUGGAUCAGAAGCGGCGUUAAGUGGGCAAGGCCUUGGGGAUUGUGGGUUUGACAAUCUUCAAUGUCCGGGAAAUCAAAAUUCUGAUCCGGAGGAAUUCCCUGAUUGUGGACUCGGCAAUGUUAACCUUGUUUCUAAUGCCAAUGCUUCCAGUGGAAGUAAAAGAAAAGGUAAACCAUUAUAAGCCUCCUUGUUUUCAGCACGCCUUCUUAAGAAUACCUUGAUAAGAAGUUAAGAACCUCUCUGUUGUAUCAUUUGUCUUCUCUAAUUUAAAUCAUUUUCCUUGGGUUAUCAUAUUUCCGUAUCUUAGUCGUUGUUUAGCUGGAAAAUUUCCAUGUCACACUAUUUGCUUGCUUGUAAUUCAGUCACUCUCUCUUGCCCUGCAUAUCUCCUUUUGCUUAUUUUGUAGACAGCUUACGUUGUUGGUAUUGUCAAUAGAGAUUUAGGUUACAUGUUCGAUGAAGGGUGCAAUUUUGGCAUGAUGCAUGUUUCAAAAUAUUGAGGAAUCCCAUUCUAUAAUAUGAUCUUUUUGCUUUAUGUGUAUGUGUAGGGUAGGGACAUAUUUCUCAAACUAUUAUUAUCAUACAUUAAUAUGGACUGACUAAAGAACACUAGAAUUUUGCAAUGUUUUAGUCCUCUUUUCUAUUUAGGUAAGUAUCACAUGGAGAAGCAUGUAACUCACGCGAAUGUUCUCCAACGCCUUCUUGAGAUGACUGGUCUGGAUGCUUGAUUUUUCUCGAGGCAAAUGGAUGUAUUUUUUAGUGUAUAGUUGACAUAGUAAAUUUUUUCACGUAAAGUAUUAUUUAUGUUUCCGCUGAAUCAAAAGCAUAUCAUGCUAGGUUUUCUGGUUUAAGAAUAACUAAAAGCCAUGAUCCUUCUUCAUGUUAAAUAUCUGAGAUGCUAACUGAUGUCCGUACAUGUUGACUUGGUUUCUAGUGAAUCAAACAUAUAAUCGGGCUUUGGAAGCUUGCAUCCCCUUGUCUUUCUAAACACGAUGUUAUUUUUGUAUGUCUUGUCAGCAGGCUCGCGUGCUGCAAUGGUUAGGUGAAGAGCUGGUCAGAUGGGGGCGAUCUCAACGUUGAGAACGAGCAUUCCCCCUGGCUCAUUUCCAUCCUCAAUUUUGAGAUCAGCAGCAGCCCCAUCACCUCCCUCUAAUAAGCUAGAGUUGGCCAUGCAUAAAAUUGGUGGGUUUUGUGUACAGUAGUUUCCAUAUUCUAUGCAGUGUAAAGCAAAAGCAUCGGAGCAAUAGCUAGCAGAAGUUGAGGAGAGGACUAAUCUUUUGGGUUUUUAAGCUUUCCUAGGUUUACUCUUAUCAGCCUCCAGGUAUUCACAAGGCACCAGAACUCGUUUUAUUUCGUUUUUUGAUGUGUUCUCGACUGUAUUUUCUUCCCUUUCUCGGAAUGUUGUUUCUCUAAUUUGGAAACGUGAAGUAUCAUGCAAUGUGGAGUUCUAUCUAUAAUCAUGUGCCAUGAGCAAAUAUUAUUGUUUGCCAUGAUCUGGCUAGAAAGGUGUAAUCUUGCAGAUUUUUUUUCGAGCUUUUUGUUUCGUGAUUUUGUCCCCAUUUUUACUGGUCAUAGACAACAGUCUUAUCUUUAGACUCUUUAACUGCUUUUUCUCUCCACCUCUCAUUGUUUUGAUAUUUUAUAGCGGAUCUUUUGAAAAGUUAUUUUUCUAAAAAAAAUUGAAGAGGAAAAGGAAUAGCAUUUAUAAGUUAUAAAUGUCAUGUUUGUAAUGUUUUGGAAUAGUAUGCGUGUAUUGUUUUGGUAAUCAUGUUUGAUUGAAAAUGGUUCAAUGCUGUAAAUCAUAUAUAAAAACUGUAACAGUUAUGUUUUUUAUUCCAAGAUUUAAAGAGGAAAAGAAGAAAAUAAAAUUGGGAGUAGUNAAUCUAAUUCCCCUAUAAUAAAUCGAAUUACAAUCGAAUUUUGCGAAACCACAAGGAUUUUGGUGCUAUUUCUCCUAUAAUAAAUAUCUUUAAAUAAUUCAUUAUUUACACCAAAUGUCAUUAUCUCCGCACAUAAUUAUCUCUCUUUAUUUCUCUCUCAUAUUUUUUGAACAAAUAUAUACUCACAAAAAGUUGCUUUCUCUCUCAUAUUUUAUUAUAAACUAUUAAUUUCUUAAUAUCUGUACCCAAAUCUUGUGGCCUAUUGAAUUAGGACGGAUAAAGUAAUUUAGUUCACUUUUUUAAUCAAUAUUACAUUAUCACGAUGAUUUGACAAUAAAGUAAAAAAAUGUUUAUUGAACUAAUGACGUUGUAUAUAUAGGGAUACAUGUUUUUAUUUUUUAUUAUUUUUUUUAUUUUUUAGGCAUUAUAGGGUACAUGUUGAUUGACAUAAAAAUCAUACUUUUACACAUAUUAGCAUUUUUUUUCGGACACUUUUUAAACGUUUUAAUGUGCAAUAUCAUUUUUUUCAAUUUGUAUGUGUUUUCUAAAAAAAUAUACUAACAAUGAAUCAAUGAUACAAAUUAAAGAUGAUGUUAUAAUUAAAACAUAACGUCGUAUCGAAAUUAUAAAUAAAUCACUGGCCAACACUAUACCCCCACCAUUUCCCCACAAAUAUUCGAUUUCAGAAAGCAUUAGAAAAAUGAUUAGAGAAUCUAUGCACGCACCACCACUUUUCCCCAUCAUAUUUUAAGUGAUCGUACUAAAUUAGUACACUUUGUUAGACGUAAAUUAGUACACAUUAAAAAAAAUAAGAGUUAAUUACCUAGAAAUUAUAGUAUCAAAUUUUAGUUUUUAGAUAUAAAUUUUAAUGUUUGGUGUGAUAAUUACUUAAAUUAUUAACUGAAUUUGAUUUGGUUACUAAUCAAAAUUUCAAUAAAUUUAUUAACGACACAAUGAGUAAAAUAAUUGGCGUGACAUAGUUGUUCUUGCGUGGUAAUCUGUUGAGUAGUAAUGUCAUCAAUAAAUUAAUUGAAAUUAUAACGGGUCACAAAUCAAAUUAAAUCAAUAUUAUUAUAGUUUAAUUUUUAAAAUUUAUAGGUGUAUAAAAUCAGACUUUGAUAAAAAAAAUUCAAUCAAUUAAUCCUAAAAAUAAUAUCGAGAAUAAAUUAAAACGAAUAAAAGAAGACAACCAUGGAAGCCUAGUGAUUCGCAAUCAACGAAAGUAAAAAGUUGUUAGCUAUAAAUAAAGAAAUGCAGUGAAAAAUUGGACCCGCAUUUGUUCAGCUGUUUGGAAUUUGAGGAAUCUUGAAUCAAUGGCUCCUGUAAAUCGCCCCGUUUCUUUCCCCCAUUGAAUUGUCGCCAUUUGUAUCCUUCGCUAAAGCUCUUUUUAGCCCUUUUCCUAGGGCUUCCUUUCCCCCCUUAUAAAUCCCCUCGUCACCCCAAUUUCCGCGUCGUGCCGCUUGCUCUUGCGCUAAAGAUUCAAUUUUCGAAAGGUUGGGUUGUGGAAUUCAUCACUUGAUUGUAAGUCAUUUUGCUUUUCUUCCCGAUUUGCUUUUUGUAAUUUUUUUGGAACUUCGUUACCAUUUAGGCGUGGUUGAUCGUGGUUAGACUUCUAUUUACUGAUUUUCACCAUUUCUUUUUUGCUCGACGAGGGUGAAUUUUAGCUGAAUUGAAGUGCCCUGAAUUUUGAUUUUUGACAUGGUAGUUAUAGCUCGUAGUUUUACGGCGUGGAAUUUUCUUUACAAUUCUUGGCAUACUGUCGUUUGGUUCGCGUUGAUAGAAAUUGUUUCGCCCUAAUUUAGUCUAAUUUUGUGUAAUUUUUUUUAUUUUCUUCUGCGUAGGGUUUGUUUCUUUAUUUUGACUAUAAAGGAUUGGACACUCAGAGAGUCAGAGUUAUCCGUGAAAGACAGUAUAUAUCUGCUGAAAUGGAUGAUGGGGAGCUUGAUUUCCCAAAUGACCAAUGUUGUCAUGCUUGGACAUAACUAAUGCUCAGAGCAGUUGCUCGUUCGACAUAGACGAGUUUCUUAGUCGGACGCAGCUUGCAAUGAUGCCCUUGGUCGAACAGAGGCUUACACCGAUGGUCUUGGUCGAACACAGGCCUGCACUCAUGCUCAUGCUUGCAACCCGUCGGGCCCUGAUCAAUCCCACACGCAUACGUGCAUUCAUGUCCACACGCAAAUUAUGCCCUCCCCUAGUGAAGGUCAGGACCCCAGCGACGACACCGCUGAAUCGGUGGAUAAGAAAUCUAAAAAGAGGCCGUUGGGCAACCGUGAAGCUGUACGUAAGUACAGGGAGAAGAAGAAAGCUAGGGCUGCAUCAUUGGAGGAUGAGGUUAUCAGGUUGAGGGCUUUGAACCAGCAGCUAAUGAAGAGGCUCCAGGGUCAGGCGUUGCUGGAGGCCGAGGUUGCUAGGCUUAAGUGCUUGCUCGUGGACAUCAGAGGGAGGAUUGAGGGAGAAAUUGGAUCUUUCCCUUACCAGAAGCCGAACAAGAGUGAGGACGUCUAUCAGAACAUGGCGAAUCCUAAUAAUCCUGGAAGAUACGUGAUCAAUCCGUGUAAUAUGCAGCGUAAUGAUCCGCUUUACUGCAUUCAUCCUGGAUCAGAAGCGGCGUUAAGUGGGCAAGGCCUUGGGGAUUGUGGGUUUGACAAUCUUCAAUGUCCGGGAAAUCAAAAUUCUGAUCCGGAGGAAUUCCCUGAUUGUGGACUCGGCAAUGUUAACCUUGUUUCUAAUGCCAAUGCUUCCAGUGGAAGUAAAAGAAAAGGUAAACCAUUAUAAGCCUCCUUGUUUUCAGCACGCCUUCUUAAGAAUACCUUGAUAAGAAGUUAAGAACCUCUCUGUUGUAUCAUUUGUCUUCUCUAAUUUAAAUCAUUUUCCUUGGGUUAUCAUAUUUCCGUAUCUUAGUCGUUGUUUAGCUGGAAAAUUUCCAU